GACGAACCGUGCGAACGUUGUUCGGAAUCACUGGGCUUAAAGGGCGCGUAGGCGGCUGGGGAAGUCGGCGGUGAAAGCCCGGAGCUCAACUCCGGGUCGGCCGUCGAGACUCCUCGGCUCGAGCUCACUAGAGGCAGAUGGAAUUCCGGGUGUAGCGGUGGAAUGCGUAGAGAUCCGGAAGAACACCGGUGGCGAAGGCGGUCUGCUGGGGUGAGGCUGACGCUGAGGCGCGACAGCGUGGGGAGCAAACAGG
rnacentral:rRNA from 1 species